UCUCGGGGGGCUUAAUGGGUUAAGGAUCCAGCAUUGUUGCUGCUGUGGCUCAGGUUCGAUCCCUGGCCCAGGAA
rnacentral:tRNA from 1 species